rnacentral:rRNA from 1 species
ACGCUCGACACCUAGGAGGCAGCAGUUGGGAAUAUUGGACAAUGGAGGAAACUCUGAUCCAGUGACGCCGCGUGAAGGAAGAAGGUCUUCGGAUUGUAAACUUAUUUUGUCAGGGAAGAAAAAUGACUGUACCUGAAGAAAAAGCACCGGCUAACUACGUACCAGCAGCCGCGGUAAUCUGAGCGGGCUGGCAAGGC